GACAGAGGGCGCAAGCGUUGUUCGGAAUUACUGGGCGUAAAGGGCUCGUAGGCGGCCAACUAAGUCGGACGUGAAAUCCCUCAGCUUAACUGGGGAACUGCGUCCGAUACUGGAUGGCUUGGAUUUGGGAGAGGGAUGCGGAAUUCCAGGUGUAGCGGUGAAAUGCGUAGAUAUCUGGAGGAACACCGGUGGCGAAGGCGGCAUCCUGGACCAAUAUUGACGCUGAGGAGCGAAAGCUAGGGGAGCAAACGGG
rnacentral:rRNA from 1 species